GUUGAUUACGAGUUAGUUACAUAUUGCCGUUUCCUGAACUUUACCACCCAGGAAUUCAAAUGAAGAAUAAAUUCUCAGGGAAGGAAAUUGAUAGGAGUGAGCUGAUAUUUAGAAGCCGUCGUGUUUGUCAUUAGAUGAAGGCAUAUCUGCCACGCAGACCCGGCGUCUGUGUGAAGUCCCGAGCUGAAUUCACCUCCAC